AAUAAAUUGCGAGCGCAGCUCCACCUGUGCUCUGAGAAACGGGUCCUGGUGAAGGAAACGGUUUUAUAAAGCAUUUCUUCCCCUUAGGGUGUGAGGGCGGGGAGAACUCCCAUCUUUGAGCUUCUCCUUAUGUACCUGUUUGACUGAAUUGAGUUCGGUCACGCCCAAUUUUCAGGUUGAUUGUAUGAGAAGAAAUGCAGGCCCAUGCUGUCCAGCUAGAAUUGUGUUUCCAAACUCUGCCAGCCUGUCCAACGUAACCAUUUACAGACCAGUGCUCUUCCAUGAUGCAGCCAUUUACAUUGUAGUGGCUUUGUAAGUACAACUGAACAUCUGGAAAGGGAAACAAAAUCAUGCCAAACAGAGAAGAACGCCUUACAAACAAUCCAGAAAGGAGAUAUGACAAGAUGAAAUGCAAUUCAAAAAAACCCAAAAAAACCCCAAAAAAUUGGGACAUUUAGUGACUACAAGAAAAUGGACUGGGAUUAUAUGAGGUGCAGUACAAAGGACCAAAACAUGCCAAAACUAACCUCACAGAUGUUGCAAAAGCAGGGGAAAAAAUCAAGGAGGAAGACAGAACUCUGACGGGAAAAUAUGAGUGGCAUGGCAUGGAUACUGAAAAAAAUAUUGAUAGAACCGUUAUACAAUUGCUGCACUAAUCCAAGUCCUUCCUAGCCUUACUUUAGACUGCAUUAGAAAAUUAGAGAAUGUGUCAUUUAUAUGGUCAUGGAUAGAUGCCAAAAGGUGAAAAGCUAUUAUUAAAUGAAAUGUUCUAAAAUGCUAUAGCCUCAAGAAUUAAAUGGAAACAAAAUAUUUCAUAGGCAAUAAAUCUACAGAAUUUAACUGAGGAGCUUAUCCAAAGUGUA